CGGCAUGCCUUACACAUGCAAGUCGAACGGCAGCGGGGGUAGCUUGCUACCUGCCGGCGAGUGGCGAACGGGUGAGUAAUACAUCGGAACGUGCCCUGUAGUGGGGGAUAACUAGUCGAAAGAUUAGCUAAUACCGCAUACGACCUGAGGGUGAAAGUGGGGGACCGCAAGGCCUCAUGCUAUAGGAGCGGCCGAUGUCUGAUUAGCUAGUUGGUGGGGUAAAGGCCCACCAAGGCGACGAUCAGUAGCUGGUCUGAGAGGACGAUCAGCCACACUGGGACUGAGACACGGCCCAGACUCCUACGGGAGGCAGCAGUGGGGAAUUUUGGACAAUGGGGGCAACCCUGAUCCAGCAAUGCCGCGUGUGUGAAGAAGGCCUUCGGGUUGUAAAGCACUUUUGUCCGGAAAGAAAUCGCUCUGGUUAAUACCUGGAGUGGAUGACGGUACCGGAAGAAUAAGGACCGGCUAACUACGUGCCAGCAGCCGCGGUAAUACGUAGGGUCCAAGCGUUAAUCGGAAUUACUGGGCGUAAAGCGUGCGCAGGCGGUUGUGCAAGACCGAUGUGAAAUCCCCGGGCUUAACCUGGGAAUUGCAUUGGUGACUGCACGGCUAGAGUGUGUCAGAGGGAGGUAGAAUUCCACGUGUAGCAGUGAAAUGCGUAGAGAUGUGGAGGAAUACCGAUGGCGAAGGCAGCCUCCUGGGAUAACACUGACGCUCAUGCACGAAAGCGUGGGGAGCAAACAGG
rnacentral:rRNA from 1 species